rnacentral:sRNA from 1 species
AGUGUGUCCGGUAUACUCAAGCGACGGACCGAACUUACUCAGUUACUGUUAAAGAUGUUGAUUUAUUGUGGAAUUUUGUUGAUUUUAGUAAUUUUAUUUGCAUUAUCAAAACUUCUAUCGGCAAAGAAAAUAAAGCUAAAAGGAGCUCAUGUAUUGAUAACAGGUGGAUCUAGUGGUAUUGGUAAAGCCCUUGCUAUUGAGGCGGUUAAAAAUGGAGCUAAUGUCACUAUCAUGGCCAGGAAUGAAAAAAAACUAGAAGAUGCAAAAGAAGAAAUAGAAAGUCACAUAAAAGAUAAAGAUGCUCAGAAGGUUUUUUCAACAUCUGUGGACAUAACAAAAAGUGCAGAAAUGGUUAAAGAAGCUGUUAAAAAGGCUGAAAACAAUCUGGGACCAGUUACAAUUCUAAUUAACAAUGCAGGCAGUGCAGUGGCUGGAAAUUUUGAAGACACUUCAUCUGAGCAAUUUCAGCGCAUGAUGGAUUUGAAUUUUCUCGGAGGUGUCAAUGUCACCAAGGCUGCCUUAAAAGGGAUGAAGGACAACAAUGGAGGAAGAAUAGUUUUCAUCUCAUCCCAGGCGGGACAAGUGGGCGUGUUUGGCUACACCGCCUACUCAGCCUCAAAAUUCGCUCUCAGGGGAUUCGCAGAGUCCCUUCAAAUGGAGGUAAAACCAUACAAUAUUUAUGUUACCAUGGCAUUUCCACCUGACACAGACACUCCUGGUCUAGCAGAGGAGAAUAAAUCUAAGCCCAGGGAAACACUGCUCAUAUCAGAUACAGUAGGACUGUUUUCUCCCAGUGAUGUGGCCAAGUCAGUAUUCAAGGAUGCUGUGAAUGGGAAAUUUUUGAGUUACGUUGGUAUGGAUGGCUGGUUGCUUUGCAACUUAUCAAGCGGGAUGUCCCCUGCAACGUCCAUUUGGAUUUACUUCAGCAGAUAUUCACUAUGGGACUGUUCCGCUUUGUUUGUCAGUUUUAUUUGUUACAUUUUGACCGGAUUAUAAAAAAGUGUAAAGAAGAGAAGCAUGCAAAACCCAAGACAUCAUAAGAUUUCAUACAUAUCUAAUUGGUUUUUUAAAAACAAUUUAAAAUAUUUAUGAACAAAUUAUACAUUUAUCAGUUGUAUUUGAAAUACUGGUAUAUUAAUUUGCUUUUACAUUCAAUGUAUUCACACUUGCAAAAAAUAUUUUUCGUAUUAUUUGUAUGAAUAAAUUUUAUAUCAAAAUAAAAUAAUUAUGGAC